UUUUGAAUAGCUCAGAGGUAGAGCAAUUGGUACCAAACCAAUCUGUCACGGGUUCGACUCCUGUUUCAAAAGCCA
rnacentral:tRNA from 8 species